rnacentral:rRNA from 1 species
CCUACGGGUGGCAGCAGUGCGGAAUAUUGGUCAAUGGACGAGAGUCUGAACCAGCCAAGUAGCGUGAAGGAUGACUGCUCUAUGGGUUGUAAACUUCAUUUAUAUGGGAAUAAAAUGUUCCACGUGUGGGAUUUUGUAUGGACCAUAUGAAUAAGGAUCGGCUAAGUACUUGCCAGCAGCCGCGGUAAUACGGAGGAUCCGAGCGUUAUCCGGAUUGAUUGGGUUUAAAGGGAGCGUAGGUGGAUUGUUAAGUCAGUUGUGAAAGUUUGCGGCUCAACCGUAAAAUUGCAGUUGAAACUGGCAGUCUUGAGUACAGUAGAGGUGGGCGGAAUUCGUGGUGUAGCGGUGAAAUGCUUAGAUAUCACGAAGAACUCCGAUUGCGAAGGCAGUUCACUGGACUGCAACUGACACUGAGGCUCGAAAGUGUGGGUAUCAAACAGGAUUAGAUACCCUGGUAGUC